UGCUAUACAUGCAAGUCGAGCGGACCGACGGGAGCUUGCUCCCUUAGGUCAGCGGCGGACGGGUGAGUAACACGUGGGUAACCUGCCUGUAAGACUGGGAUAACUCCGGGAAACCGGGGCUAAUACCGGAUGCUUGAUUGAACCGCAUGGUUCAAUCAUAAAAGGUGGCUUUUAGCUACCACUUACAGAUGGACCCGCGGCGCAUUAGCUAGUUGGUGAGGUAACGGCUCACCAAGGCGACGAUGCGUAGCCGACCUGAGAGGGUGAUCGGCCACACUGGGACUGAGACACGGCCCAGACUCCUACGGGAGGCAGCAGUAGGGAAUCUUCCGCAAUGGACGAAAGUCUGACGGAGCAACGCCGCGUGAGUGAUGAAGGUUUUCGGAUCGUAAAACUCUGUUGUUAGGGAAGAACAAGUACCGUUCGAAUAGGGCGGUACCUUGACGGUACCUAACCAGAAAGCCACGGCUAACUACGUGCCAGCAGCCGCGGUAAUACGUAGGUGGCAAGCGUUGUCCGGAAUUAUUGGGCGUAAAGCGCGCGCAGGCGGUUUCUUAAGUCUGAUGUGAAAGCCCCCGGCUCAACCGGGGAGGGUCAUUGGAAACUGGGGAACUUGAGUGCAGAAGAGGAGAGUGGAAUUCCACGUGUAGCGGUGAAAUGCGUAGAGAUGUGGAGGAACACCAGUGGCGAAGGCGACUCUCUGGUCUGUAACUGACGCUGAGGCGCGAAAGCGUGGGGAGCGAACAGGAUUAGAUACCCUGGUAGUCCACGCCGUAAACGAUGAGUGCUAAGUGUUAGAGGGUUUCCGCCCUUUAGUGCUGCAGCAAACGCAUUAAGCACUCCGCCUGGGGAGUACGGUCGCAAGACUGAAACUCAAAGGAAUUGACGGGGGCCCGCACAAGCGGUGGAGCAUGUGGUUUAAUUCGAAGCAACGCGAAGAACCUUACCAGGUCUUGACAUCCUCUGACAACCCUAGAGAUAGGGCUUCCCCUUCGGGGGCAGAGUGACAGGUGGUGCAUGGUUGUCGUCAGCUCGUGUCGUGAGAUGUUGGGUUAAGUCCCGCAACGAGCGCAACCCUUGAUCUUAGUUGCCAGCAUUCAGUUGGGCACUCUAAGGUGACUGCCGGUGACAAACCGGAGGAAGGUGGGGAUGACGUCAAAUCAUCAUGCCCCUUAUGACCUGGGCUACACACGUGCUACAAUGGGCAGAACAAAGGGCAGCGAAGCCGCGAGGCUAAGCCAAUCCCACAAAUCUGUUCUCAGUUCGGAUCGCAGUCUGCAACUCGACUGCGUGAAGCUGGAAUCGCUAGUAAUCGCGGAUCAGCAUGCCGCG
rnacentral:rRNA from 1 species